AUUAAGUAUAGUGACGUUUUUAAUGUCACCGGUGAACUCGCUUCGAAACCUAUUGCACCACAAGAUGCGGCCGCCAUGUAGUCGGCUGAGACCAGGGUCCUUGGACAAACGUGGAAAAGUGGUCCCACAGCUGUCAUGGAAUCUACAACUGUAGCCAACGAGAGGGCAGCCUCGUUCGCCACGAUCGAGCAAACAUUACCGGAUAUGAAGGUGUCACCGUAACUAAGACCAACACAGGUGGUGAAGCUUGGAUCACGGAAGCCGUUGAGGGACAUGAAUAAAAUCAUUAUAAAAUAACUUUAAUGAGUUACGUUAAGCUUUAAUUCUAAUGUUGUUUUGAUGAGAAAAAGGUUGUUGGGCAAUACAUUCAACCUGAAGUUCCGGCGGUGAACAAUCCAACGGUUACUCCUGACCCAAUAACAGUCGGAGAGGCUUUGGAGAUGGCGGCCUUAUCUACUGCUGAUAAAGCAGUGGAGUAGAGCGACAUGGCUGCAAUUCAAGUAGCUGAAAGGAGAGCUACUGGCAUUAAUGAGACGUUGCCGGGUAGAGUAGCCGCUGAAGCCCAGUGUGUAGCCACUCGGAAUGCUCGAACCAUGCAGUUUGAAGAUAAAACCACCCUGUCCGACGUUUUAUAUGAUGUAACUACGAUGUUGCCUAGGGACAAGGCAGUGACCCCUGAAGAUGCAGACAAGGUGGUAGCCGCGGAGCUGAGAAAUAAUCCAUACAUGAGUACCCCACCAGGGGGAGUGACUGCUUCCAUGACUGCUGCCAGGCAUAAUGAGAACUCCACUACUUAAAUCUUUGGAGUACCAUGUUGGUUGGCAGCACAGUAAACAUGUGGGAAGUUCCAUAGACUGACCACGUUUGGGGUGGGUUAUGGGCUCAGGCCUCAUACUUUAGAGACCGCUCCAAGCAGGACAAUUUCAACAGCUCAGCUACAAGAUCUGAACCUUAGGAUCCAUUCAUCUCUCUGGAUUGUCACUGUACCAAACACAUCACAAAUCUUCUCUCUUUUUUUUAUAGCUCAAUGGUUAAUGGCAUAUUUUGUAGAAAACACAGAGAGAAACUAAAUAAAGCAGGCGGGUAGUAUAGGCGACGACAUGCGAGAGGCAGUUUUUGAGAUUCAUUGGAAUUCAGGCAAAGAGAUUGCAGAAAGAAAUAGUUUGGUCAUUUUGACGUUGAUUUCUCGAGCUGUCUUUUCGUAUCUCGCAAUGCGUUAGUGGUCACACUGUUGCAAUAAUGUCGUUUCUUUCAAACAAAAAAUUUGGUGUCCAGUGCUUCUAUUGGAGUCCGGUGGAGUUAAGUUGGGUUAUUUAUAAGACUCCAUUUUCGGACUUUACCUCUAAACCCAACAUCACAUUAAAAAAAAAAAAAAAUCAAUAGUUUU